UACGUAGGUGGCAAGCGUUGUCCGGAUUUAUUGGGCUUAAAGGGUGCGUAGGCGGUCUUAUAAGUCAGUGGUGAAAUGCGGCAGCUCAACUGUCGAGGUGCCAUUGAUACUGUAGGACUUGAGUACAGACGAGGUAGGCGGAAUUGACGGUGUAGCGGUGAAAUGCUUAGAUAUCGUCAAGAACACCGAUAGCGAAGGCAGCUUACUAGGCUGUAACUGACGCUGAGGCACGAAAGUGUGGGGAUCAAACAGG
rnacentral:rRNA from 1 species